rnacentral:rRNA from 1 species
UACGUAGGUGGCUAGCGUUGUCCGGAUUUACUGGGCGUAAAGAGCGCGCAGGCGGUCGUUCAAGUCGAGUGUGAAAGCCCCCGGCUCAACUGGGGAGGGUCACUCGAUACUGAUCGACUCGAAGGCAGGAGAGGGAAGCGGAAUUCCCGGUGUAGUGGUGAAAUGCGUAGAUAUCGGGAGGAACACCAGUGGCGAAGGCGGUUGCCUGGAGCUUUGCUGACGCUGAUGCGCGAAAGCGUGGGGAGCGAUCCGG